CUCUCGCUCUCCCACUCCCUCCCUCUCGCUCUCCCACUCCCUCCCUCUCGCUCUCCCACUCCCUCCCUCUCGCUCUCCCACUCCCUCCCUCUCGCUCUCCCACUCCCUCCCUCUCGCUCUCCCACUCCCUCCCUCUCGCUCUCCCACUCUCGCCCUCCCUCUCGCUCUCCCACUCCCUCCCUCUCGCUCUCCCACUCCCUCCCUCUCGCUCUCCCACUCCCUCCCUCUCGCUCUCCCACUCCCUCCCCUCGCUCUCCCACUCCCUCCCUCUCGCUCUCCCACUCCCUCCCUCUCGCUCUCCCACUCCCUCCCUCUCGCUCUCCCUCUCCCACUCCCUCCCUCUCGCUCUCCCACUCCCUCCCUCUCGCUCUCCCACUCCCUCCCUCUCGCUCUCCCACUCCCUCCCUCUCGCUCUCCCACUCCCUCCCUCUUGCUCUCCCUCUCCCACUCCCUCCCUCUCCCUCCCUCUCGCUCUCCCUCACUCUCCCACUCCCUCCCUUUCGCUCUCCCUCUCCCACUCUCUUUCCCUCCCUCUCCCCCUCUCCCCCCCUCCAGCUUUCUGCUCUUACUUUCUCCUUUUCUACUUCGUUGUGCUUUAUAUUUGUAUAUUUGUCUUAUAUUACCUCUCUCUCUCUUAUGUUAAAUACAAACCUUGUUUAGGAACAUCACAGAAAGGUUUUAUGCUGCUUAUUUUCCAAAUCUAAUAGACUUGGAAGUUUUUAGGGUGAAGAAGAGCACUAUUCCCAUCAUAUACCGUGUGUAAGUGGAACGUGUAGAUUCAAGCAUGUUAGGAAACAUUACCCACACUAAACACCACACAUCUAGUGACAGGAUCCUAUAUUACCUCAUCGCCAGGGGACUGUUGUGUCAGAGGUAUUUUCAGACAGGACAGGGGACUGUUGUCAGAGGUAAGUCCAGACAGGACAGGGGACUGUUGCGUCAGAGGUAAGUCCAGACAGGACAGGGGACUGUUGCGUCAGAGGUAUUUUCAGACAGGACAGGGGACUGUUGCGUCAGAGGUAAGUCCAGACAGGACAGGGGACUGUUGCGUCAGAGGUAAUUCCAGACAGGACAGGGGACUGUUGCGUCAGAUAUUUUCAGACAGGACAGGGGACUGUUGCGUCAGAGGUAAGUCCAGACAGGACAGGGGACUGUUACGUCAGAUAUUUUCAGACAGGACAGGGGACUGUUGCGUCAGAGGUAAGUCCAGACAGGACAGGGGACUGUUGCGUCAGAGGUAAGUCCAGACAGGACAGGGGACUGUUGCGUCAGAGGUAAGUCCAGACAGGACAGGGGACUGUUGCGUCAGAGGUAAGUCCAGACAGGACAGGGGACUGUUGCGUCAGAGGUAAGUCCAGACAGGACAGGGGACUGUUGCGUCAGAGGUAAGUCCAGACAGGACAGGGGACUGUUACGUCAGAGGUAAGUCCAGACAGGACAGGGGACUGUUGCGUCAGAGGUAAUUCCAGACAGGACAGGGGACUGUUGCGUCAGAUAUUUUCAGACAGGACAGGGGACUGUUACGUCAGAGGUAAGUCCAGACAGGACAGGGGACUGUUGCGUCAGAGGUAAUUCCAGACAGGACAGGGGACUGUUGCGUCAUAGGUAAUUCCAGACAGGACAGGGGACUGUUACGUCAGAGGUAAUUCCAGACAGGACAGGACACUGUUGCGUCAGAGGUAAGUCCAGAC